GGGGAUUUAGCUUAGUGGUUCUAGCACCUGCCUCAAAAGCACAAGGUCCCAAGCUCAAUCCCCA
rnacentral:tRNA from 1 species